CGUCAUUAAACCUGUUUAACACCAAAUAAUAAGGAAAAUAAAAUAAAAAAUUCAGGCUUGGUGCAGAAACUCACUCCAAAUAAAUUACAUACGAAAAUAUUUAUAUAAUGGUAGCAAUAUUCCAAAAUUCCAUAUUUUGGGAUUUAUACACAAAAGAUAAACAAAUUAGAGGCCAAAAGGCUGCCGGAAGGGAAAAACGGGGCCUGGAAAGGCCGUUGUGAGGAAUGAGCUGGGCCUAAAGAGGCCACUGGCAGGCAGGAGCUGGGCCUGCCAAAGCGGCCGAAAGGCAGGAGCUUUCGACUGGGGAGGCCGCAGUGAGGCGAGAGCUAGCUGGGCGUGGAGAGUCCGCUGUGAGGCUGAGGCUGGGCCCGUGCAGGCCUUCGAGAGGCAGGAAGCCGGGCCUGCAAAGGCCGACUGGAGGUCAAGUUCUGGGCCUGAAGAGGCCACCAAAAGUCAAAAGCGGGGCCUGGGAAGGCUGCUGAGAGCCAUGAGCUGGGCUGGGCCAAAAGAGGCCACUGGGAGGCAGGAGGAGCUGGGCCUGGAGAGGCUGACUCGAGGAAGUUUUGCACCUGGAGAGGCCAAGAGGACGGAGCUGGGCCCAGGGAGGCCAACUUGCAGCUCUUCCAGGCCCACUUCCAGGCCGACUUGAGGACAACUUAGGCCUGCAGAGGCUGCCGGGAGGCUGGAGCUGGACCUGGAGAGGCCGACUUCAGGACGAUUUGGGCCUGCAGAGGCCGCCGGGAGGCCCAAGCUGGGCCUAGAGGAGCCCACCGACCGGAGGCCGUUUGGGACCUGGAGAUGCCAUCGGAGGGCAGGAGCUGAGCCUGGCGAGGCCACCGUGAGGCCUGACCUGGGCCUGGGGAGCUUGGCUUCAGGAAGUUGUGGGCCUACCAGGGCCACUGGGAGCUGGGCAGGAGCUGAGUCCAAAGAGGUUGUUGGGAGGCCGGAGUCGGGCCUAGAGACGCAGCCGGGAGGAAGAGCUGGGCCCGGAGAGGACGCCGGGAGGUUGCAAGUGGGUCUGGAGAGGCCUGGCCUCUGCCUCCCGCAUGGCGGCCUCUGCAGGCCCAGCUGUUCCUCCCGGCUGCAUCUCCCGGCCCACCCCCUGCCUCCCAGCAAGCAAGCUCUUUUGGCUCAGCUCCCGCCGGCGUUUGUAGACCCCGAAGUUUCUGCAGCCAAGCUCUUCAGGCCCACAUCCUGCCUCCCAGUGGCCUGUACAGUCCCAGCUCUGGCAGGAGAAGAGCGUCUGCAGGCCCCACUGUUGCCUCCCAGGGGCGUCCCCAGGCCCAGCUCUCGCCCCACCGCGGCCGCCCGGGGCCAUAGCUGGGCCUGGAGAGGCCUCUGGGAGGCAAGAGCGGAGCCUGCAGAGGCUGUUCUACAGCCAGAGCUGGGCCUGUACAGGCCACCGAGAGGCAGUAGGCGGGCGCGAAGAGCUUGGCUCGAGAAAGUUCGGGGCCUACAAAGGCGGCUGGGAGCUGGGCAGGAGUUGAGCCAAAAGAGCUUGCUUACUUGCUGGGAGGCAGGGCCGGGAGACGCCGACUUCAGGACGACUUGGGCCUGCAGAGGUCACCGGGAGGCAGGAGCUUUGGACUUGGGAGGCCGCAGUGAGGCGAGAGCUAGCUGGGCGUGGAGAGUCCGCUGUGAGGCUGAGGCUGGGCCUGUGCAGGCCUUCGGGAGGCAGGAGGCCGGGAAGGCCGCCGGGAGGCAUGAGCUGGGCUGGGCCGAAAGAGGCCGCUGGGAGGCAGGAGGAGCUGGGCCUGGAGAGGCUGACUCGAGGAACUUUUGCACCUGGAGCGGCCGCCGAGAGGCCGGAGCUGGGCCUGGGGAGGCCGACUUGAGGACGACUUGGGCCUGCAGAGGGCACCGGGAGGCAGGAGCUGGCCCUGGACAGGCCGACUUGACAACAGUCUGGGCCUGCAGAGGCCGCCGGGAGGAAGAGCUGGGCCUGGAGAGGCCGACUGGAGGAAGUCCAGAGCCUGGAGAGGAUGCAAAGCAGCAAACGCUAGGCCUGGAAAGGCUGCCCUGAGGCACGGGCUUGGCCUACAGAGGCCACUGGGAGGCAGGAGCUGGGCCCGCAGAGGCUCCCGAGAGCGGGGAGCAUUGCCCCAGGAGGCCACGGUGAGAAAGAGGUGGGCCUGGAGAGCCCACUGUGAGGUAGAGGCUGGGCCUGUAGAGGCCGCCGACAGGCAGGGGCUGGGCCCGUUGAGGCCACGAGAGGCAUGAGCUGAGCCUCAAGAGGCCAGUGUGAGGCAGGAGCUGACACUUGGGCAGGUUGCAAGAGGCAUGAGUUGGGCGAAAAGAGGCCACCGUGAGGGAGGAGCUGGGCCCGUACAAGUUGCCGAAAGGCAGGCGCAGCUUUGGACUGGAGAGGCAGCAGACAGGGAAGAGCUGGGCAUGGAGAGUCUGCUGUGAGGCAGAGGCUGGGCCUGUACAUGCCCUCGGGAAGCAGGAGGCUGGGCCUGGAGAGGCCGACUUGAGGCAGUUUUGCUCCUGCAGAGGCCACUUACAGACAAGAGCUGGGUGUGAAGAGGCUGACUUGAGGUCGAUUUUGGCCUGCAGAAGCCACCGGUAGCUAGGAGUUGGCCCUGGAGAGGCUGACUUGAGGACAAUUUUGGCCUGUAGAGGCCACUGGGAGGGAGAGCUUGGUCUGGAGAGGCUGACUGGAGAAAGUUCUGGGCCUGGAGAG
rnacentral:lncRNA from 1 species